AGAUCGUCAUAUGUCUCCCUCCUGGUUACUCCCUGUGUUACUUCUAGUGUUACUCCUCAUGCCUUCCAUGCAUUUUGCCUUUUUGAUGGACUAUUGUUUAAAAGUCUGGUCCAACCAGCUGACAUCUGCAGCCAAUAACGGAGUGAAAGAACCACAGAGUGGUCUGAAGAUGAAGCAGAGGAAUUUGGAAAUAGAGGGGAAUAAAGUCUUCUUUUACAAGAGUUACCAGUAGCCCCAUCAGAUUAUCUUCAUCUGACUCUUCUUCCAGAGAGACGUAACUCUGUCUGGUGGAGUCACAGAGACAUCUAGAGGCUGAAACCUGCAGCUUUUCAGAAGCUUUGCGAGUCUGGAGGAGUCCUGUCGUCCUUUCCUGCUGAUCAGCAAGUCAAACACCAGGUGGCGAUGUUUCCUCACAUUCAGCUGGAGCUGCCGGCCUGCUGCUGUGUCGAAGCUGAAACACAUGAACAAAAAGGUCAAACUAGAGCAAAUGAUCACCAGUAUUCUCUACAAUACUUGUAUGCUCUUCUUAACUACCCUAACAAGAUAGCAGAUUUGAAGUCUAAGGUACAGGUGCAUUUACGUUGGAGUGUUUCAAAAUGCUAAGAAAUGAAAGAAUGUGUUUCUCAUACUUUCUACAUGCAAAAAUUUUUUUUUCCUCAUAUUUUGAACUUUUUGUUCCCUUGUUUUCACCCUGACUUGCUAAAACACUUCUUCUAUUAGUCACUGAAUGUGUGACUGAAAAGGAAAAAUAAAUGGCUCUAAGUGAACUACU